GGCUCCAUAGCUCAGUGGACAGAGCGCUGGUCUACGAAACCAGAGGUCGCGAGUUCGAUUCUCGCUGGAGCCU
rnacentral:tRNA from 1 species